rnacentral:rRNA from 1 species
UACGUAGGGGGCCAGCGUUGUCCGGAGUACAUUGGGCGGUAAAGCGCGCGUAGGCGGCCAGAUAAGUCCGGUGUGAAAGUCAAAGGCUCAACCUUUGAAUGCCGCUGGAAACUGCCUGGCUUGAGUCCGGAAGAGGCGAGUGGAACUCCUGGUGUAGCGGUGGAAUGCGCAGAUAUCAGGAAGAACACCAACGGCGAAGGCAGCUCGCUGGGACGGUACUGACGCUGAGACGCGAAAGCGUGGGGAGCGAACAGG